rnacentral:rRNA from 1 species
GAUGAACGCUGGCGGCGUGCUUAACACAUGCAAGUCGAGCGGUAAGGCCUUUCGGGUUACACUAUCGGCGAACGGGUGGGUAACACGUUGGUGAUUUGCCCUGCACUUCGUGAUAAGCCUGUGAAACUGGGUCUAAUACCGGAAAUGACCUCCUAUCGCAUGGUGGGUGGGGUCAAUAUUUAUCGGUGAAGGAUGGGCCGGCGGUCUAUCAGCUUGUUGGUCAGGUAAUGGCAUACCAAGGCCAAGACGGGUAGCCCACCUGAGAGGGUGACCGGCCACAAUGGGACUGAGACACGGCCCAGACUCCUACGGGAGGCAGCAGUGGGGAAUAUUGCACAAUGGGGGCAAGCCUGAUGCAGCGACGCCGCGUGAGGGAUGACGGCCUUCGGGUUGUAAACCUCUUUCAGCAGGGACGAAGCGCAAGUGACGGUACCUGAAGAAGAAGCACCGGCUAACUACGUG